UGCUUUACUAGCACUGUCCGCCGGGCUAAGCGUUGCUUCUUUUUGUUUUUAGGAAAAUAAUUACAAAAAAUAAAUAAAUAAAAAUUUCAGAAUUUUUUUUUUUUUAAAGCCGGAUUGCGAUCGUCUCCGUUGCUCUCAGCGUUUCACUGGCGGAGCAGAUUUAUUCAUAGAAGAUAGGUUUAUAGCUGAUGCAUUUAAAGACGGAGAGCUGACCAAUCACGUCACUGGUGCCUUUGUGCGCGCGCCUCCUUUCGCUCAAACUGGACACUGGCUGACCUGUAUUGAUAUUUACAUCAACUCCCUGGGAGGAAUUAUGUUUCUUUGGAGAACUCUAUAUCAAGGUAAGAGUAUAAAGCCCAACGCGUUAGCAAGAACCGUGAACCGCAAGAAUAAGUUGGAGUGGGACUUUCAGAGGUGCGUUAAAAGCCCCACUCACCUCUGAAAGCGGUAAGAAUGAUUUAUCUUUGUGGGUGAUGGUAUUCACAUCAACAGACAUAUUCAUACAAAAUAACAGUUAUAACAUCAUUAGAAAACACAUUGUAAUACAAGAUGUAUUUAGUGGCACCUGCAUCCCACCUGAGAGUGUUUCUAACAAGCACCUAACUCUAAACAUCUCUGUGUGUGUUUUUGUUUUACAUCUAAAAAUAUUCUCCAUAAGAAUGUUAAUUACACUCCAGCCUCAUGACACGAGGAUGACUGGAGUCACAAACACCCAGUGGCCCCCAAGCACGUAGUCCCAGGAGUGUCCCAAUAGGGACAUUAAGGUCUUCCUCAGUCUGUCCCUGGGCCAUGUUUCUCUCAUCCUCUGAAAACAAUGAAUCCCUUCAUAAUCUCUAAUUCUCCCUCCCUCUCUGGUGCUGAAUCUGCUCCAGUGGUUGAAGUUUGUGUGGUAAACAUAUCAGUCUGGUUGAUAUAUUUUUUGUGUCUACUUUGGCGCUCUUUAGUGUUUGCUCUCACAGUUUUUCUGGACCCGCUCCACCACAUAUCCCCUCCGAUCUGCUGAAAUAACUAAAUUUAUAUCCUGGAAGGAGAAUGGAGGGAUGGGAAAAGGAGGACUGAGAGAUUUCAUUAUAUUAGUCCAAUGUCCUUCAAGAAAAUCAACCAGUGUUGAAGGUCAAUACCUACACAUAUGCUUCUGUCCAUUCAUAUCUACACAUAUUUUUGAAUAUUAAAUGUGCCUUUCAACAGACAUCACAUCAUGUGGAGUUAUUUGAUCUAAAUCAUCCUUUAAGCACCAUGAUGCUAACAUUAAGAUGAAACGGUGACUUCCUCUUUCUUGUUGUCAGACUCAAAUUAUCAGUAACAAGGUUUUAUUUCAAAAUAAUAGCCGUGAAAUUUGGGUAAAUUAGUUUAUAUAUUCUUCAAAUUAAUUUUUAUUUAUAUAAAGUCAUUUUCUCCUGACAUUUAUUGCUAUCUUCUGUUAUGUUCUACAGACAGUUAGUAGUUACCAUAGCAACCAGUAACUGUAGGCUAGUCCCCUUUUACCAUCUUUAACUCUGGGGCUGGACUGAUGUUAACCACCAGCUUGACCUUCUCUCUUGUUAACCAGCUUGAUUGUGUGUUGUGAAGUCAACCUGAUGGACCUACGACGAACAGAGAAAGGUUACAUAUCCAUCACAUUUACUUUGAAACACAGAAGGUGGUGGUCUGACCUGCUGUUGAUCAACUAAUAUACAUUCAGG